UACAGAGGUCUCAAGCGUUGUUCGGAAUCAUUGGGCGUAAAGGGCGUGUAGGCGGUCUGUUAAGUCAUGUGUGAAAUCCCUCGGCUCAACCGGGGAGCGGCGCAUGAAACUGACAAGCUAGAGUACCAAAGAGGGGGGUGGAAUUCCCGGUGUAGCGGUGAAAUGCGUAGAUAUCGUAAGGAAGACCAGUGGCGAAGGCGGGUCUCUGGACAGUUCCUGACGCUGAGGCACGAAGGUCAGGGGAGCAAACGGG
rnacentral:rRNA from 1 species